rnacentral:rRNA from 1 species
AGGGUUUGAUCCUGGCUCAGAGUGAACGCUGGCGGCGUGGAUUAGGCAUGCAAGUCGAGCGAUCCUUGUUACUGAUGCUGAUUGAAAACCUUCGGGUUGAUAUUAGCUGAAGUAACGCUGGAUAGCGGCAAACCGGUGAGUAACACGUGGAUAACGUACCUUGAGGAGGGGGACAGCUUCGCGAAAGCGAAGGUAAUACCCCGUAAGCCCUAAGAUCUGGGAUGGUCUAAGGGGAAAGGUGGCCUCUACUUGUAAGCUAUCGCCUUAAGAGCGGUCCGCGUCCUAUCAGGUUGUUGGUGAGGUAAUGGCUCACCAAGCCUAAGACGGGUAGCUGGCCUGAGAGGGUGGUUAGCCACAUCGGGACUGAGACACUGCCCGGACUCCUACGGGAGGCUGCAGUCGAGAAUAUUUUCCAAUGGACGAAAGUCUGAGAAUGCGACGCCGCGUGAGGGAUGAAGGUUUUCGGAUCGUAAACCUCUUUUAUAGGGGAGGAAGAUUUAAAAGCUAAUACCUUUUAGAUUUGACUGUACCUUGUGAAUAAGCCACGGCUAACUCCGUGCCAGCAGCCGCGGUAAUACGGAGGUGGCAAGCGUUACUCGGUUUGACUGGGUGUAAAGGGUCCGCAGGCGGCCUGGUAAGUGAUGGGUGAAAUCCUUCGGCUCAACCGAAGAACUGCCCUUCAAACUGCUUGGCUCGAGGCUGGAAGAGGAGAGCGGAACUGACGGUGUAAAGGUGAAAUUUGUGGAUAUCGUCAGGAACGCCAGUGGAGAAGUCGGCUCUCUGGUCCAGACCUGACGCUCAGGGACGAAAGCUAGGGGAGUGAACAGGAUUAGAUACCCUGGUAAUCCUAGCUGUAAACGAUGGGCACUAGGUGUUUGUCCUUUAUUGGAUGGGUGCCGCAGCUAACGCGUUAAGUGCCCCACCUGGGGACUACGGCCGCAAGGCUAAAACUCAAAGGAAUUGACGGGGGCCCGCACAAGCGGUGGAACACGUGGUUUAAUUCGAUGCUACGCGAGUAACCUUACCAGGGUUUGACAUGCUAGAAGUAGUAUCCCGAAAGGGAGUCCGACUGGUACCCAAUCCAGAACUAGCACAGGUGCUGCAUGGUUGUCGUCAGCUCGUGCCGUGAGGUGUUUCCUUAAGUGGAAGAACGAGCGCAACCCUCGCCCUUAGUUGCCACCUAUGGUUUUUAAUCAUAGAGCACUCUAAGGGGACUGCCCGCGUUAAGUGGAAGGAAGGUGGGGACGACGUCAAAUCCGCAUGGCCCUUAUAUCCUGGGCUACACACGUGUUACAAUGCUCGCUACAGAGGGAUGCCAAACCGUAAGGUGGAGCAAAUCCUUAAAAAGCAAGCUCAGUUCGGAUUGAGGGCUGCAACUCGCCCUCAUGAAGCUGGAAUCGCUAGUAAUGGCGCAUCAUCUCGGCGCCGUGAAUACGUUCCCGGGCCUUGUACACACCGCCCGUCAAGCGCUGAAAGUGGGGGGCACCUGAAGUCCCGAUUUAUCGAGAUCACGGUGAAUUUCAUGAUUGGCGCUAAGUCGGAACAAGGUA